AGCAGUGAGGAUGAGAGAGAAAAGAGAGGGCUCCUGGUGACAAGUUGAUCAGAUGUGCUCUUUGCUGGUUGUUGUGCUUCUCCUGGAGGCCUGGGAGACGAUGCAUAGUAUUGUUUGAUGACUGGUGUUUGUGAUGGUAAAUAUGUGGGAUGGAGAGGAAAGUGAGUAAAGUAGGCCAGAAUAGAAAACAGUGAUGUCAGGGGUCGGGGAAAACCUCUAAAGUUGCAUUUAUAUUUUUGAUAGUGCGUUGUAGAGGUGUUGCAGCCAGGUUGCCUUGCAGCCUCUCUCACUGUGGAGCAGUCCAGGCGCUCAUAUACAAAGCCAGCACGUUUCACUGUCUGCAGCAUCCGAGCGGAGCGCAGCACCACCUCCAGCAUCACCAGCAGCCGCAGCAGCAGCGGAUCGGGGAGGGCUUUUUUGAGCACACUUGGAGCACCGACGACGCAUGUGAUCGGCGCAAACCUCCACACCGAUCAUGAUGAUGAUGAUACUCGGUGGUUGCAGGUCGCUGGAUGCCGGCGGCUCGGUGGACGGAGGAGGCUGUUGAAUAAGCGGAGGUGUGUCUGAAGAAGAAGAAGAAGAAGAAGAAGCGCUGUCCGGCGGAACCGUCGCUGCUGUCCCCUCCUGUUUUUGUUUUUUUUCCGUCUCCCACCACAGUCGAGACGAUACGCAUGAACUGACGUGAAUGCCGAGCAGCAGCAGCAGCGCUCGGCAGCAGCUCUCCGCUCCUCCGGCCAGAGUCAAUGGGAGCGCAGGUCGGCCGAGCGCUACAAACAUGGAGAGAAUUUUCCUGCUCGUCCUCAGCUGUCUCGGCGUCUCUCGAGUCACGGCGGAUAGCUUGUCACCUCCUGUCAAUGUGACCAUCAAAGAGGUGAAAGCAAACUCUGCUGUGGUGUCAUGGGACAUCCCCGAGGGAGACCCUGUCAUUGGCUUUGCCAUCACACAGCAGAAGAAAGACGUGCGCAUGCUGCGAUUCAUCCAGGAAGUCAACACCACCACACGCUCCUGUGCAUUAUGGGACUUGGAGGAAGAGACAGACUACAUCGUGCAUGUCCAGUCCAUCAGCAUGUCUGGAACGAGCCCACUGAGCGAACCGUUACGCUUCCGAACGCCAAAGGAGGCGGAGACUCAGGCCUCUAAAAGUAAAGACGAAGUGACAAUGGAGGAAGUGGGCCAGACCACUCAGCUGAGGGCAGGAGAGCUCAUCAUCAUCGUGGUGGUACUUAUCAUGUGGGCAGGUGUGAUCGCUCUCUUCUGUCGCCAGUAUGACAUAAUCAAAGACAACGAGCCCAACAACAACAAGGACAAAGCCAAAAACUCCUCAGAGUGCAGCACUCCUGAGCACCCAACGGGGGGGCUGUUGCGCAGUAAGGUAUAACCCACCCCCCUCCUCCUCUCCCUGGGUGCCUCCCCCUCAGCGGCGCCGGGCAGUUCCCCAAGAACAACAACAACAACAAUAGGAUGCCAUCUGUCAACAUCAUUGAGGUGUGACUGCCAGGACGUCUUCUCUUUAUCCAAAAGACUUUGUGUUCUCACAAACAAAAGGGCCCGUUUUAAGCCCAUCUGCUUGUCAGGAUGAGGCUGGGACUCUGGGCCCUUCGGCAGCGCCUAUUCUCCUUUGGCACGGGGCCUGGUGCUGAAGCAAAGCUGCAGGAUUCCGGAGGUCGGGCUUGGCCUGGCUGGUGCUGGUCUAAGAACAGAGUCAGCAGUGGAGAAACUGUGGAGAGAGUUGAGCAGCUGCUCCAUGCUCAAUGACUACUGUACCAUGGGGCAGCAGAGAUUAGGGCCAAAUGGCUCCGGCAGUGGAGAGACUGCAGAUAAAUCAACCCCAGGGACCAAAGCCGAUAAACAGAGCCAGAGACCUUUUCAUUCUCUCUGUUUCAGACACACUCCGUCACCUCUUUCCUUCUCUUUCAGUGCAUUAUCAGUGACCACAGACCAGGGCAUUUCCUCUCUCUGGGUGGCACUGAGAUGCACAUUGAAAUAGUCCCCUCUACUUUAAUCUCAUCAUCCAUACCUUAUUUUCUUCAUAACAAUCUGUGUUCUGUGGCUUUGUAAAUGACAGUAGGUUGGUAGGGAGUAGUUUUUUUUAACUUUCUUUUUUAACAAGCUGCCACCAGUACAGUUUUGUUGUUCUGGUGUCCGUUUUGGUUUUUUAGACCCUCCUUAGGCAGAAACUCUUUGCUGUCCUGUGGGACAAGUAUUCAUUCUGGCGAGCUUGUUUUCCCCCCUCAGGGAGUCCAGACUCCACCUGGCUAAUUUAGGAGCCAUUUCCAAGAUGUGCUGCAAUGACGCCAGAACAGCUUUAGAGAGAUCACUGGGCUUACCAUCAGAGCUGAAUCACCCAAACCUGUCAGAAAAGAUGAAAUUCAUUAUCUCACUUUGAAAGGUAUCUCUGAUCUGAAUACAUAAAUAGGGUAAAGUCCAUUAGAGGACAGGUUUGGUAACGUCUCAGUCACAUUUGCUGUCGCUUUCUUACUUCUUUCAUGCUUUUAUUAUAGAUUUCAGAAAUGUAACAUUCCACGUCCUGGAUGAGCCCUUUAGUAUUUCCUCGUGUCUUUCUCCUUGAGGGUGAUGAAUUUCAAAGUGUUCUGGAGAGGAGCAGAACUGCCACAAUGGAGUGCAUUCAUCUAAUUACUGAACUUUAAAAGGGGGCUGGACUCUGUGGAUGUCUAUGGAGCAGUGGACCUGCCUGUGCAGAGACACUGAAGAGAUCCCUUAUAUCAGCAAUAACAGCCCUCAGAGCGCGCGGAAGCAAGGACUCAAACUCUGUAGCCUCUUUGAAUAAAAGCCGACCCCUCAGCAUGUAGUGUUCAGGUAGAUGAACAGACUGCACAUCCAGUAUGAGGGAAUUAACCCCAAAAAUCCCAAGCGCUGUUGUAAAAACUUUGGUUUCUGAUGGCUUGCAUGGAAAAAAAUACUUUUUUAAUGGGCCCAACUUGCAACCCUGAGACUUCUUUAUGACAUCCUGAACAGAUGUCACCAAGACAGAAGGGCUUCUAUCAAGACUUUCACAAAUCAAAGUCAACAUUUGAGGUGAAACUUCAAGUUAAAGAGGCUAAAUAUAAUAAGGGAUCACUUGUUGCCGUAUGGCACACAGAGGACUUGUGCUUGGGGAACAAAUGAUGUAUUUGAGGGCUGAUUCAAACUCAGUAGUACUGCCUUAAAAAUUAUUCUACCUUAUGAUUUCUCUAUAAAGAAUGAAGGCCCUGUGUCUCACAUUUGUGUCAUAUUAUUUAACUUUCACCCAAUAUUUAACGUGUGCAAAGUAAAAGGAUACACUACAGAUUGAUGCCGUGUAGUCUGAGCUGAAAAUCUGGAAGAAGUGGCUGAAAUUUAAUGUGUAAAUACAUUUUAUAUUACA